rnacentral:rRNA from 1 species
GAGUAAUGUCUGGGAAACUGCCUGAUGGAGGGGGAUAACUACUGGAAACGGUGGCUAAUACCGCAUAACGUCGCAAGACCAAAGAGGGGGACCUUCGGGCCUCUUGCCAUCAGAUGUGCCCAGAUGGGAUUAGCUUGUUGGUGAGGUAACGGCUCACCAAGGCGACGAUCCCUAGCUGGUCUGAGAGGAUGACCAGCCACACUGGAACUGAGACACGGUCCAGACUCCUACGGGAGGCAGCAGUGGGGAAUAUUGCACAAUGGGCGCAAGCCUGAUGCAGCCAUGCCGCGUGUAUGAAGAAGGCCUUAGGGUUGUAAAGUACUUUCAGCGGGGAGGAAGGUGUUGCGGUUAAUAACCGCAGCAAUUGACGUUACCCGCAGAAGAAGCACCGGCUAACUCCGUGCCAGCAGCCGCGGUAAUACGGAGGGUGCAAGCGUUAAUCGGAAUUACUGGGCGUAAAGCGCACGCAGGCGGUCUGUCAAGUCGGAUGUGAAAUCCCCGGGCUCAACCUGGGAACUGCAUUCGAAACUGGCAGGCUUGAGUCUUGUAGAGGGGGGUAGAAUUCCAGGUGUAGCGGUGAAAUGCGUAGAGAUCUGGAGGAAUACCGGUGGCGAAGGCGGCCCCCUGGACAAAGACUGACGCUCAGGUGCGAAAGCGUGGGGAGCAAACAGGAUUAGAUACCCUGGUAGUCCACGCCGUAAACGAUGUCUACUUGGAGGUUGUGCCCUUGAGGCGUGGCUUCCGGAGCUAACGCGUUAAGUAGACCGCCUGGGGAGUACGGCCGCAAGGUUAAAACUCAAAUGAAUUGACGGGGGCCCGCACAAGCGGUGGAGCAUGUGGUUUAAUUCGAUGCAACGCGAAGAACCUUACCUGGUCUUGACAUCCACAGAACUUUCCAGAGAUGGAUUGGUGCCUUCGGGAACUGUGAGACAGGUGCUGCAUGGCUGUCGUCAGCUCGUGUUGUGAAAUGUUGGGUUAAGUCCCGCAACGAGCGCAACCCUUAUCCUUUGUUGCCAGCGGUUAGGCCGGGAACUCAAAGGAGACUGCCAGUGAUAAACUGGAGGAAGGUGGGGAUGACGUCAAGUCAUCAUGGCCCUUACGACCAGGGCUACACACGUGCUACAAUGGCGCAUACAAAGAGAAGCGACCUCGCGAGAGCAAGCGGACCUCAUAAAGUGCGUCGUAGUCCGGAUUGGAGUCUGCAACUCGACUCCAUGAAGUCGGAAUCGCUAGUAAUCGUGGAUCAGAAUGCCACGGUGAAUACGUUCCCGGGCCUUGUACACACCGCCCGUCACACCAUGGGAGUGGGUUGCAAAAGAAGUAGGUAGCUUAACCUUCGGGAGGGCGCUUACCACUUUGUGAUUCAUGACUGGGGUGAAGUCGUAACAAGGUAACCGUAGGGGAACCUGCGGUUGGAUCACCUCCUUACCUUAAAGAA